GAACGCCGUGUGCAUUGAAAGGUGCAUGCACGGUGUGGAGCAGGGGAAAAGGAGGAGAUAAUAUCAAGACCUUACCUAUUGCUAU
rnacentral:ncRNA from 1 species